AUCUAACUAACUAAGUAACUACAUAACUAACUAAGUAACUACAUAACUAACUAACUGACUAACUAAAUACACCAAAUGGCGAAAAGUGCACAAUAAAAUUCUAUAACGGCAACCCUUUUCAAUAUGUUUUCUCUCACUCACUCUCCUCUUUUUCUGUAUAAAUGGCGCAUUGUAUAAUGAAGCGUCAUCUAUUGUACAUGAAAAAACAAAAAACGCCAAAAAUAUAUAUAGUAUAUACAGCUAAAGUACAUUGUACGUAUGUAUGUAUGCAUGUAACUAAACAAUAUUCUCACGCAAUAUUUUUGCACUUUCAUGAUGUUUUUACUAUUCAUUAUUGGAAAAAAAUUGUAUAUUUCGUAGAGAAAGUGUAUGUGGUUUAUAAUAUUAACAACAACGACAACAAAAACAGAACGCAAAACUCAUAUCACAGCCAUUAAAUGAAACCUCUGACGAAAAAAGAAAAAAAAUAUUAUAUUUUGUACGGGGAACAAAAAUAACACAGAGCUCUACACUAAAAAAGAUUUCAUUUGCUGUAAAUUUUAGAUUUUUCACUUAAAUUCAAAAAUGCUACGCUACGAGCAAGUUUGUUCAGAUAUUUACACGGAUUAAUUUCUUUUUCAAUUAAAAAAAAUGCUCCCGACUAAACUAAAAAUUUACACUUUGUUACAUAGUAAUAGAGCGAGAGAGAAAAAGAGUGAGGAAUAGGUGACAAGUGAUACUAAAUAAAAGGUUUUAAAUUGUACGAGUCUGGUGAUGACGGAUUUCCUGGAAUAUUCAAAAUCUAAAGGAUUAAUGUGAUUGUUUUAAAUUUAAGAUUAAUAAUAUUAGUGCAAAAGAGCAAAAAUAAAGAAUUAAGAAAACUUUUUAUAAAAGAAGAA